AGUGAACGCUGGCGGUAGGCCUAACACAUGCAAGUCGAACGGCAGCACAGUAAGAGCUUGCUCUUACGGGUGGCGAGUGGCGGACGGGUGAGGAAUACAUCGGAAUCUACUUUUUCGUGGGGGAUAACGUAGGGAAACUUACGCUAAUACCGCAUACGACCUACGGGUGAAAGCAGGGGAUCUCCGGACCUUGCGCGAUUGAAUGAGCCGAUGUCGGAUUAGCUAGUUGGCGGGGUAAAGGCCCACCAAGGCGACGAUCCGUAGCUGGUCUGAGAGGAUGAUCAGCCACACUGGAACUUGGACGGCGUCCCGACUCCUAAGGGAGGCAGCAGUGGGGAAUAUUGGACAAUGGGCGCAAGCCUGAUCCAGCCAUACCGCGUGGGUGAAGAAGGCCUUCGGGUUGUAAAGCCCUUUUGUUGGGAAAGAAAAGCAGCAGGUUAAUACCCCGCUGUUCUGACGGUACCCAAAGAAUAAGCACCGGCUAACUUCGUG
rnacentral:rRNA from 1 species